AAGAAAUUAAGAAAAAGAAACAAAAUUGGUUAGCCUAUAAUAAUCACUUGCUAAUAGUGAUCAAUUUUCUUGUUUGCACUUUGCAGCUAAAUGUAGCAGGCAGCUAUUGUUUGUUUGAUUUUGUGAACUGAAGGAAGAAUUUAAGUUAUUUGAGGUUUUACACUUAGCAGUUUAUCUUUGCAAUCAUUUUUAUUUUUGUAUUAAGUAUUCGUUUGACCCUUUGUCUCAGGGCCGCUUUGGUUUCCUAUUGACUAAGUGGACUAAAGGAACAUAAAUCUUACUCAGGUUGACAUUGAGUAGCAAAUGUUUACAUUUGAUUCACUGUGAUCUUUUUUAUUUGAGACCUAUAAAAGUGUCUACUGCAGGAAAAUGGAAAGAGUAACUCUAAACAUCAAUCUAGAAUCAAAUCUAUGAAUGUAUUGAAUUGAGAACUGAUUUUGAAUCGCAAAUCGAAUCGCUUUUGAAUCGUGAAUCGUUUUGAAUCGCAAAUCAAAUCGUGACCCCAAGGAAUUGAAUCGAAUCGUGAGAUUUCCUGAAUCGUGCACCCCUAUUAGCUAUGUAUAGUAGCAGGAGAGUUGUGAGUAUAGCUGUCUGUCCGCUCUGCAUGUUAGCUUCACAACAGCAAUUAUAGCAACAGUUUGCUAACCCACAACUUAGCUAACCCUAGUCACAUUACCUACUGUGUAGUUGUUCACUCUAUAUCAUGGUAUUUGUCCAUACAAUGUUUGCAAAGUGUUUUAUAGCCAUGAAGACCUAAAAACUCAGGCUUGCUAGCAUAGUGGGAUUAUUUGGAUUGAUACACAGGUCGAAAUGGUUAGCUUAGCUAAAAACCUACAGUCCUAUCCUCAGUCACUGUAGUUUUGUAAAAUCAACCUUAACAACUAACUCUGGCUAGUUUUUACUCUGUUGUGUUUUGGCUGCUGUGUUAGAUAUAUAGAUUGAAAUAUUGUAUGUUAAAAAUUUGUUACUGUUUCAUAUUUGCAAUUCGAUGUGCACACAUGCAAUGAGGUUUGUCACACAACACAUUGUCAUCUCUGUUACAUUUUGUGAUGAGUACAGACAAGUAGAGUUACAAUUUUUCAUAUGCCAUUUCAAUUCUGUGUCGAAAGGUGAUGGCCGGCUGGCUAGUCCUGGGUUUUGUGCUCAGUAAUGCAUGAAUUCUGCCAUGGAGAAUGAUGCAAAGCAGAUUAUCUACAUAACCAACAUUGAUUCUGUCAUCAUGGAGAAGGAAGGCUUUGUAAGGGCAUUUGAGACUCUUCAUCGAGAAGUCAAGCUGACUGAAAUAUUCCCAGAUUUCAGCUCUUUUCAGUAAGUACUAGUAGUGCUUGUGUAGAUGAGGUUGAUCUAACAGCGAUUUUUACAGAAAUACAUCUGCCUAUUGGACUGUAAUUACUGUGUUUUAUGCACUGGGUUUGUAGCUAGCAUAUGUGCUUCUUGUAUUUGUUCUCUCCAUAUAGAUCCAGCCAGGUGGGAAUUCAGAUAAGGGGGUGCAGCACUCCCUUGAUGUGUGGCACGGUUCAGAAAACCUUUCAAGAGGACUACUAGUGGCAAGCCAACAGAAGGGGUGCUCCCAUCCUUUUGCAGUGGAAUAAAGACAUUUGCAACCAUUUCUGGUACUGCUGCAAGAUGGCUGACAGCUAUGACAACUUCUUUGUAUGUAUUAGUGAAAGUAUAUUGGACUUUUGGAUUGCAACUAACAUGUUGAAUGGAUGAUUUUUUAAAUGUCAUUGAUCACAUACCGUAGACAGUGCACAUUGUCCUGAGACUUUUCAAUUUUGUGAAUGAGUAUUUCCACUAAUAGCUAACUGGCAUGUAGAUGUAAAUGUAAAGUGCCACAUGAAUCACAGCUCAGUUAUCACAAAUGGUUAGAGGUUCCCUCAAAAGCCUUUACACUUUUCUCUAUUCUGUGCAGAUCAGAUCAUGUAUUCACACGCCACAGAAGUUGACAUUACUCUUCCAAUGACUUGCAUUUUAGGACAUGUAUAUCAGCCUCCUUCAUCAUGUCACAGGAGAGCAUUCAUGGGCACUGGGUAGCUGCCACCAUGGUCCCCUAGUUGAGGUCAGGGACAAAGAGUGGAUUGAGGCAGAUUCUGUGGCCCAUCAGAAACUUGUUGAAUUAAUUAUGGAUGCACAAUGGCUCAAGGACAUCCCAAAGUAUCUGCAUUUCACGUGUGUAAGACUGAUCUUUUGUUACCUACAAUUUUGCUCUAUACUGUGCUUCUGUGCCCUUGUUAAAAAUAUGUCAUCAUCUUUGUUUUUUUUUUCCGAAAUGCCCAGAUCAACUGUGGAAUUGUCAUUCCAUAAGCAUAUCCUGAUGUACACUAGCUUCAGCUUCAACCCCCCUGUAUACAGUGGUUGCAUAUGCCAGCUGCUUUUUCAUAUAUAUAUACACACACACACACACACACACACAUAUAUAUAACCAUAUUAUUGCUGUUAACCAAUAAUAAAAGAUGUUUUGUGUCAUUACAGGUAUGGGAAGGUGUAUAAUAAAAUGUCUGGGAAAUGGCGCUUGCAAACCAUAAAGGAGGACAAGGACUACGGCUAUGUCUGUGAACUCCAAGUAUCUAUUCUGCAUCCGAUGCAGGGAUGCCACUUAAAAAAAAAAUCAAGGUCUGGUGACCCAAGACUUCUUGGACCUUUUUCAGGUGAACAGCUUUUGAGGACACAGGUCAGAGGAGGAAUAGGGAUGUAGCCUGCAUACUGGCCCUGGGGAUCAUUCCAGUUCCUUCUGGCCAGUCUGAAGACCCUUUCCUCCAAAAUGUAGAGGUCCAU